rnacentral:RNase_P_RNA from 1 species
AUCGCAAGCCAGACUAUCGCUUGCUUGUAAUAUAGCAAGAGGAAAGUCCGGACAACACAGAGUAGCCUAGCACCUAACAGAUGCUUCUUGUGCAAGCAAGAAAGAAAGUGCCACAGAAAAUAACCGCCACAAGUGUAUCUUGGGGUAAGGGUGAAAAAGCGAGGUAAGAGCUCGCGAAUGUAUUUGGUAACAAGUAGAUUGGGUAAACCUUAGGCGUUGCAAUGUUAAAUAAGUAGUGUUAAAGCUACUCGCCAAUUAAGGCUUAGGCCAUUAAUGCACUACGGGUAAACAGCUAGAAUGUAUUGGCAACAAUGCAUCCAGAUAAAUGGUAGUCGUGCCGAUGUAGAAUUGGCAUAACAGAAUCCGGCUUAUUGGCUUGCGGUAGUU